AAAUUAAAAUAGUAGCAUAUAGCUAAUUCCCGAAACAAAAAGAUCUAAAUUAAAUUUUCUUAUAGGUUGUAAAUCUUCUCUGUAGCAUUAGAGUGAAUAAAUAUUUAUUUAGUAGUGAAACACUUUCAUUUUUUGUGAUAUCUGGAUAAAAAUGAAAUAUAUUUAGUUUUAACAUAGUUACAAAGUGAUAAGAUUUUGUAAGAGUAAUUAAUUGAGUAAAAAUAAAUUUUCAACAAAUAAUACUUUAUGAAAAUUUUUGUAAGUGUAAAUAAAUCUUCUUACUUGCUAUUAUAUUUUAUUUUUUUACAUGUGUAGAUAAACAAGCUUAUGUAGAUAAUGUAUAAAUGAGUAUUAAUAUAAAUUUUUUUUAAGGAAUUCGGCAAAUAUUAUGUACGACUGUUUAACAAAAACAUAGCUAGUAGAAUAUAAUUAUUAGUGAUACCUGCCCAGCGAAUAUUUUUAGCGGCCGCAGUACUCUGACUGUGCAAAGGUAGCAUAAUCAUUUGGCUUUUAAUUGGAGUCUCGUAUGAAAGGAUAAACGUAUAUAAGCUGUCUUAAGCAAAAUCAAUAAAAAUUAGUAUAGGAGGUGAAAAUACCUCUAUUAAACUAAAAAGACGAGAAGACCCUUAGAAUUUUUAGAAAAAAUAAUUCAAUUUAUUUGGUUUUUUGUUGGGGCAACAAUUUUUCAAUCUUAAUAAAAAUAAAAAGAGAAGACAAAACGAGUAAGCUAAUUAAGGGUAAAUUACCUAAGGGAUAACAGCAUAAUUAUAUAAUUUAGAUUGUGACCUCGAUGUUGGAUUAGGGGUUAUUAAGGCUAGAGGUUUUAAUAAAAUUAGUUCUGUUCGAACAUUAUCCCCUACAUGAU
rnacentral:rRNA from 1 species